CCAGCACAACCCCCUAUAGUAACUCAGACUGAUAGCGCUGUAGAUUUAAUCAGCAUAUGCAGCUUCAUAACCAAGAUGCCUCGGCAAGAGCAAACAGAGCUCUGAAGAUUACAAGAACAUUGGAUCCAGUCUGGCUGACAAGAAAGAAGAUUUUACUAAGUAGAAAUUCGUUGAUAAUUGAUGCUCCCGUGUGAGGAGAAGAACCGGACUAACCGGCAAUCGGCGAACCCCUGGAACUGAAAAGUGUCAGUGAAAGAACGGCGUCUGGGCACAAAAUCAUCUGUCUGGAGCGACGUGACAGGCAAGCGUGGUUCCCCCAUCCCCAAGCAAGACCUUAAGUCACUCCUACGAUGGGUGUCACGCAUGUUUCCUGAUACCACCCCUUCUUCUAUUUUCACCCUCUGCUACUGAGACAAGGUCGGCGUUAAGCUCUACAACCUGGCCACUCUCCCUGGCCAUGAGCCAGAACUGCAAAUGCUUCCUGCAUGGAGGGCAGUUAUAGAUGCGAUUAAGAAGCGGGAGGGGAGUGAGGCUGCCUGUGAAGUUACGUCUAAGACGGCCGUAACAACCAUGCCGGACCGAGACCUGCCCAGGUCGCGCUCCCCGUCCCCUGUCCGCACGACCUCCCUGAUGAGUGCCAGGGUUAGAGCCUGGUCGCCACCUUCAGUCCCACCUCUAGAUCACCAGUGACCCCAGGGCGGCAGAACGCCUAUCGCUUAUACAGUGAACACUGACUCUAGCAGUGAAGGGGAAUUAGACCCUUUUGACCCCGGCCCCAAAAAAGAUCCAGACUUAUUUCCUACGGAUACGUAUCAUCAUUGGUUACGGAUAAAAAAGAAAGCCCUUAAGGACAGAGACUUUGAUACUGCGGCAGAAAUCUUUGUGGUCCCUGUGCGACUCGGCCCGAGGGGAGGAAACCCACAAUGGGAGCCUUUGGGACACUCAGAAAUUAAGGAACUGCGCCAUACUGUGGCGGAAUAUGGUCUGGGGUAUCCUUACUUCAGUAACUUAUUAAGAGCAACUUUUACUACUCAACUCAUGACUCCUCAUGACGUUAAGUGUGGAUGUUACAAUUCCCCCAAAACCAUCUACCCCUGGCAUGUAGUUUAAAAGAUAAGGUCUCCUAGAUA